rnacentral:rRNA from 1 species
AACGAACGCUGGCGGCAUGCCUAACACAUGCAAGUCGAACGAGACCUUCGGGUCUAGUGGCGCACGGGUGCGUAACGCGUGGGAAUCUGGCCCUUAGGUUCGGAAUAACUUCGGGAAACUGAAGCUAAUACCGGAUGAUGACGUAAGUCCAAAGAUUUAUCGCCUAAGGAUGAGCCCGCGUUGGAUUAGCUAGUUGGUGAGGUAAAGGCUCACCAAGGCGACGAUCCAUAGCUGGUCUGAGAGGAUGAUCAGCCACACUGGGACUGAGACACGGCCCAAACUCCUACGGGAGGCAGCAGUGGGAAUAUUGGACAAUGGGCGCAAGCCUGAUCCAGCCAUGCCGCGUGCAGGAUGAAGGCCUUCGGUGUAAC